rnacentral:rRNA from 1 species
CCAGACUCCUACGGGAGGCAGCAGUAGGGAAUCUUCGGCAAUGGACGAAAGUCUGACCGAGCAACGCCGCGUGAGUGAAGAAGGUUUUCGGAUCGUAAGACUCUGUUGGUAGAGAAGAACGUUGGUGAGAGUGGAAAGCUCAUCAAGUGACGGUAACUACCCAGAAAGGGACGGCUAACUACGUGCCAGCAGCCGCGGUAAUACGUAGGUCCCGAGCGUUGUCCGGAUUUAUUGGGCGUAAAGCGAGCGCAGGUGGUUUAUUAAGUCUGGUGUAAAAGGCAGUGGCUCAACCAUUGUAUGCAUUGGAAACUGGUAGACUUGAGUGCAGGAGAGGAGAGUGGAAUUCCAUGUGUAGCGGUGAAGUGCGUAGAUAUAUGGAGGAACACCGGUGGCGAAAGCGGCUCUCUGGCCUGUAACUGACACUGAGGCUCGAAAGCGUGGGGAGCAAACAGGAUUAGAUACCCUGGUGGUCCACGCCGUAAACGAUGAGUGCUAGAUGUAGGGAGCUAUAAGUUCUCUGUAUCGCAGCUAACGCAAUAAGCACUCCGCCUGGGGAGUACGACCGCAAGGUUGAAACUCAAAGGAAUUGACGGGGGCCCGCACAAG